UACGUGAGGGUGCAAGCGUUAAUCGGAAUUACUGGGCGUAAAGCGUGCGCAGGCGGUUGGUGCAAGACAGAUGUGAAAUCCCCGGGCUCAACCUGGGAACUGCAUUUGUGACUGCACGGCUGGAGUGCGGCAGAGGGGGAUGGAAUUCCGCGUGUAGCAGUGAAAUGCGUAGAUAAUGCGGAGGAACACCGAUGGCGAAGGCAAUCCCCUGGGCCUGCACUGACGCUCAGUGCACGAAAGCGUGGGGAGCAAACAGG
rnacentral:rRNA from 1 species